AACGAACGCUGGCGGCGUGGAUAAGACAUGCAAGUCGAGCGCUGAUUACAGGGUAGCAAUAUUCUGUGGUCGGAGCGGCGCAAGGGUGCGUAACACGUGGGUAAUCUGCCGCGAAGUUUGGGAUAACUUGCUGAAAGGCGAGCUAAUACCGGAUGUGAAAAUUAGGAGGCAUCUUCCGAUUUUCAAAGCUGGGGACCGUAAGGCCUGGCGCUUCAUGAUGAGCCCGCGGCCUAUCAGCUAGUUGGUGAGGUAACGGCUCACCAAGGCUAAGACGGGUAGCUGGUCUGAGAGGACGACCAGCCACACUGGAACUGAGACACGGUCCAGACACCUACGGGUGGCAGCAGUCGAGAAUUUUUCACAAUGGGCGCAAGCCUGAUGGAGCGACGCCGCGUGGGGAUGAAUGGCUUCGGCCCGUAAACCCC
rnacentral:rRNA from 1 species